rnacentral:ncRNA from 1 species
CUCUUAUCAAGAGAGGUGGAGGGACUGGCCCUAUGAAGCCCGGCAACCGUUAACCAGUUUACUGGUUAAAAUGGUGCCAAUUCCUGCGAAGCGACGAGCUUUGGCAGAUGAGAG